rnacentral:rRNA from 1 species
AUUUAGGAAUCUGCCUAGUAGUGGGGGAUAGCUCGGGGAAACUCGAAUUAAUACCGCAUACGACCUACGGGUGAAAGGGGGCGCAAGCUCUUGCUAUUAGAUGAGCCUAAAUCAGAUUAGCUAGUUGGUGGGGUAAAGGCCCACCAAGGCGACGAUCUGUAACUGGUCUGAGAGGAUGAUCAGUCACACCGGAACUGAGACACGGUCCGGACUCCUACGGGAGGCAGCAGUGGGGAAUAUUGGACAAUGGGGGCAACCCUGAUCCAGCCAUGCCGCGUGUGUGAAGAAGGCCUUUUGGUUGUAAAGCACUUUAAGCAGGGAGGAGAGGCUAAUGGUUAAUACCCAUUAGAUUAGACGUUACCUGCAGAAUAAGCACCGGCUAACUCUGUGCCAGCAGCCGCGGUAAUACAGAGGGUGCGAGCGUUAAUCGGAAUUACUGGGCGUAAAGCGAGUGUAGGUGGCUCAUUAAGUCACAUGUGAAAUCCCCGGGCUUAACCUGGGAACUGCAUGUGAUACUGGUGGUGCUAGAAUAUGUGAGAGGGAAGUAGAAUUCCAGGUGUAGCGGUGAAAUGCGUAG